rnacentral:rRNA from 1 species
GUGGGGAAUAUUGGACAAUGGGCGAAAGCCUGAUCCAGCAAUGCCGCGUGAGUGAUGAAGGCCUUAGGGUUGUAAAGCUCUUUUACCCGGGAUGAUAAUGACAGUACCGGGAGAAUAAGCUCCGGCUAACUUCGUGCCAGCAGCCGCGGUAAUACGAGGGGAGCUAGCGUUGUUCGGAAUUACUGGGCGUAAAGCGCGCGUAGGCGGUUUUUUAAGUCAGAGGUGAAAGCACGGGGCUCAACCCCGGAAUAGCCUUUGAAACUGGAAAACUAGAAUCUUGGAGAGGUCAGUGGAAUUCCGAGUGUAGAGGUGAAAUUCGUAGAUAUUCGGAAGAACACCAGUGGCGAAGGCGACUGACUGGACAAGUAUUGACGCUGAGGUGCGAAAGCGUGGGGAGCAAACAGGAUUAGAAACCCCUGUAGUCC